UUGUUCCACAGCACGAGUGUCAAGUCCAGUCUCCCUCGAGAAGUGUCUGCGUUGCUGGGAUAGGAUCUGGUCUCACCACCCUCUUCCGGGGUCCCUUCCCUCUCAGUAUUUGGCAGGUAUUGCCACAUAGCAUCUGGAUCCACCAAACCUGGAAGAAUCAAGAUUUACUAGCUGCACCUGAUCUGUUUGGACAUGCUGUACAUCCUGGAAAUGCUAGAACUGUUGGUGUGUGAUGGACCCAAUGAUAGUACUGGAGCUCUAGGACUAUAAAAGCUUCAGAUGAUUGAAAAGAGAGUAUUGGAAGCAUCCUGAAGAGAACAAGAAGCUCAAUGAACACCACAAGACAGUUCACAGCGAUGGGCGAGAUCUGCAAGAACUGAAAUAAUUAAAAAACAAACAGACAACCUUUUAAAAUGCAGGAGACCUCAAAGUGACCCUAGAGAAGGUGACCGAAGAAGACGGACCCCUUGGCACCAGGAUGGGGUGAGACUCAGCUGAUGCUCUCCCAAUUUUUUCCAGACGAAAAGACAAGAAUCAAACUCCAAAGCCCCCUGAAAACUUGAAUAGCAGGUUUGAUCUCUUUCAUUCUUUGAGAUCAGAUGCAACACUGUGUUUGUUUAUUAAACGAUAGCCCUAUGAAUCGCAGGAUGCCAUUCAUUGUAAAGCUGACAUCAGUAUUUCAGAGAAUUUUAGCCCAAUCGUAGGAAGCAUCGGGAGCGUUUGGAGGGUGCCUUCUACCAGACCUUCCAGAGUGCCUGGUGAGGGCAAGAGGGGCCACCGAGAUGGGGCAUGAGAGUGCAAAGGAGACUGAGUUGGUGUGAAAUCCCCAUAUUCUGAGGUUCACUUUGAGUCUCUUCUGUCAACUUCAUUCUGUCACACAUUCAUUCGGGAGACCUCUGGUUUGUGAAAGCAAGCACACACUGUCAGUUCCCGGGCCGA